GAGAGGUGCACGGAAUUCCUGGUGGAGCGGUGAAAUGCGUAGAGAUCAUGAAGAACACCGGUGGCGAAGGCGGUGCACUGGCCUGGCCCUGACGCUGAGGCGCGACAGCGUGGGGAGCAAACGGGAUUAGAUACCCCGGUAGUCCACGCCGUAAACGAUGGAUACUAGGUGUCGCGGGGGUCCACCUCGCGGUGCCUGAGCUAACGCACUAAGUAUCCCGCCUGGGGAGUACGGUGCCGCAAGGUUGAAACUCAAAGGAAUUGACGGGGGCCCGCACAAGCAGUGGAGCAUGUGGUUUAAUUCGACGCAACGCGCGGAACCUUACCAGGACUAGACGGGAUCGUGAGCCCCGCGAAAGCGGGGGGCCCUUCGGGGAGCCGAACUUCGUCAGGUGCUGCAUGGUUGUCGUCAGCUCGUGUCGUGAGAUGUUGGGUUAAGUCCCGCAACGAGCGCAACCCUCGUCGUGUGUUGCCAGCGGUUCGGCCGGGCACUCACACGAGACUGCCGGUGACAAACCGGAGGAAGGUGGGGAUGACGUCAAAUCCGCAUGGCCUUUAUGUCCUGGGCUACACACGUGCUACAA
rnacentral:rRNA from 1 species